rnacentral:rRNA from 1 species
ACUCCUACGGGAGGCAGCAGUGGGGAAUAUUGCGCAAUGGGCGAAAGCCUGACGCAGCAACGCCGCGUGCGGGAUGACGGCCUUCGGGUUGUAAACCGCUUUCAGCUCCGACGAAGCUAACGUGACGGUAGGAGCAGAAGAAGCACCGGCCAACUACGUGCCAGCAGCCGCGGUAAUACGUAGGGUGCGAGCGUUGUCCGGAAUUAUUGGGCGUAAAGAGCUUGUAGGCGGUCUGUCGCGUCGGAAGUGAAAACUCAGGGCUUAACCCUGAGCCUGCUUCCGAUACGGGCAGACUAGAGGAAGGUAGGGGAGAACGGAACUCCUGGUGGAGCGGUGGAAUGCGCAGAUAUCAGGAAGAACACCGGUGGCGAAGGCGGUUCUCUGGACCUUUCCCUGACGCUGAGAAGCGAAAGCGUGGGGAGCAAACAGGCUUAGAUACCCUGGUAGCUA